rnacentral:rRNA from 1 species
AACGAACGCUGGCGGCGUGCCUAACACAUGCAAGUCGUGCGAGAAAGUUCCUUCGGGAAUGAGUAAAGCGGCGCACGGGUGAGUAACACGUAGGUAACCUACCCUCGAGCCCGGAAUAACCCGUCGAAAGAUGGGCUAAUGCCGGAUGAGACCACGGUGGUCAUGGCCACCGCGGUCAAAGAUGGCCUCUGUUCACAAGCUAUUACUCGGGGAUGGGCCUGCGCGCCAUUAGCUAGUUGGUGAGGUAACGGCUCACCAAGGCGAUGAUGGCUAGCUGGUCUGAGAGGAUGACCAGCCACACUGGGACUGACACACGGCCCAGACUCCUACGGGAGGCAGCAGUGGGGGAUAUUGCGCAAUGGGCGAAAGCCUGACGCAGCGACGCCGCGUGGGUGAUGAAGGCCUUCGGGUCGUAAAGCCCUGUCGAGGGGGACGAAUCAGUUUGGUCCUAAUACGACCAGACCCUGACGGUACCCCUAAAGGAAGCACCGGCUAACUCCGUGCCAGCCGCCGCCGUAAAAC